rnacentral:rRNA from 2 species
ACUUAAAUUGAAGAGUUUGAUCAUGGCUCAGAUUGAACGCUGGCGGCAGGCCUAACACAUGCAAGUCGAGCGGUAGCACAGAGAGCUUGCUCUCGGGUGACGAGCGGCGGACGGGUGAGUAAUGUCUGGGAAACUGCCUGAUGGAGGGGGAUAACUACUGGAAACGGUAGCUAAUACCGCAUAACGUCGCAAGACCAAAGUGGGGGACCUUCGGGCCUCAUGCCAUCAGAUGUGCCCAGAUGGGAUUAGCUAGUAGGUGGGGUAACGGCUCACCUAGGCGACGAUCCCUAGCUGGUCUGAGAGGAUGACCAGCCACACUGGAACUGAGACACGGUCCAGACUCCUACGGGAGGCAGCAGUGGGGAAUAUUGCACAAUGGGCGCAAGCCUGAUGCAGCCAUGCCGCGUGUGUGAAGAAGGCCUUCGGGUUGUAAAGCACUUUCAGCGGGGAGGAAGGCGAUAAGGUUAAUAACCUUGUCGAUUGACGUUACCCGCAGAAGAAGCACCGGCUAACUCCGUGCCAGCAGCCGCGGUAAUACGGAGGGUGCAAGCGUUAAUCGGAAUUACUGGGCGUAAAGCGCACGCAGGCGGUCUGUCAAGUCGGAUGUGAAAUCCCCGGGCUUAACCUGGGAACUGCAUUCGAAACUGGCAGGCUAGAGUCUUGUAGAGGGGGGUAGAAUUCCAGGUGUAGCGGUGAAAUGCGUAGAGAUCUGGAGGAAUACCGGUGGCGAAGGCGGCCCCCUGGACAAAGACUGACGCUCAGGUGCGAAAGCGUGGGGAGCAAACAGGAUUAGAUACCCUGGUAGUCCACGCCGUAAACGAUGUCGAUUUGGAGGUUGUGCCCUUGAGGCGUGGCUUCCGGAGCUAACGCGUUAAAUCGACCGCCUGGGGAGUACGGCCGCAAGGUUAAAACUCAAAUGAAUUGACGGGGGCCCGCACAAGCGGUGGAGCAUGUGGUUUAAUUCGAUGCAACGCGAAGAACCUUACCUGGUCUUGACAUCCACAGAACUUUCCAGAGAUGGAUUGGUGCCUUCGGGAACUGUGAGACAGGUGCUGCAUGGCUGUCGUCAGCUCGUGUUGUGAAAUGUUGGGUUAAGUCCCGCAACGAGCGCAACCCUUAUCCUUUGUUGCCAGCGGUUAGGCCGGGAACUCAAAGGAGACUGCCAGUGAUAAACUGGAGGAAGGUGGGGAUGACGUCAAGUCAUCAUGGCCCUUACGACCAGGGCUACACACGUGCUACAAUGGCAUAUACAAAGAGAAGCGACCUCGCGAGAGCAAGCGGACCUCAUAAAGUAUGUCGUAGUCCGGAUUGGAGUCUGCAACUCGACUCCAUGAAGUCGGAAUCGCUAGUAAUCGUAGAUCAGAAUGCUACGGUGAAUACGUUCCCGGGCCUUGUACACACCGCCCGUCACACCAUGGGAGUGGGUUGCAAAAGAAGUAGGUAGCUUAACCUUCGGGAGGGCGCUUACCACUUUGUGAUUCAUGACUGGGGUGAAGUCGUAACAAGGUAACCGUAGGGGAACCUGCGGUUGGAUCACCUCCUUACCUUAAAGAA